AGAGUUUGAUCCUGGCUCAGGAUGAACGCUGGCGGCGUGCCUAACACAUGCAAGUCGAACGGAUCCAUAUUGAAACCUAGUGAUGUAUGGAUUAGUGGCGGACGGGUGAGUAACGCGUGGAUAACCUGCCGUAUACAGGGGGAUAACACUUAGAAAUAGGUGCUAAUACCGCAUAAGCGCACGGUUCCGCAUGGAACAGUGUGAAAAACUCCGGUGGUAUACGAUGGAUCCGCGUCUGAUUAGCCAGUUGGCGGGGUAACGGCCCACCAAAGCGACGAUCAGUAGCCGGCCUGAGAGGGUGAACGGCCACAUUGGGACUGAGACACGGCCCAAACUCCUACGGGAGGCAGCAGUGGGGAAUAUUGCACAAUGGGGGAAACCCUGAUGCAGCGACGCCGCGUGAGUGAAGAAGUAUCUCGGUACGUAAAGCUCUAUCAGCAGGGAAGAAAAUGACGGUACCUGACUAAGAAGCCCCGGCUAACUACGUG
rnacentral:rRNA from 1 species